rnacentral:rRNA from 1 species
UAGGGAAUCUUCCGCAAUGGGCGAAAGCCUGACGGAGCAAUGCCGCGUGAGUGAAGAAGGCCUUCGGGUCGUAAAACUCUGUUAUAAGAGAAGAACAAAUUGUAGAGUAACUGCUACAGUCUUGACGGUAUCUUAUCAGAAAGCCACGGCUAACUACGUGCCAGCAGCCGCGGUAAUACGUAGGUGGCAAGCGUUGUCCGGAUUUAUUGGGCGUAAAGGGAGCGCAGGUGGUUUCUUAAGUCUGAUGUGAAAGCCUUCGGCUUAACCGGAGUAGUGCAUUGGAAACUGGGAGACUUGAGUGCAGAAGAGGAGAGUGGAACUCCAUGUGUAGCGGUGAAAUGCGUAGAUAUAUGGAAGAACACCAGUGGCGAAAGCGGCUCUCUGGUCUGUAACUGACGCUGAGGUUCGAAAGCGUGGGGUAGCAAAGCAGGAUUAGAUACCC